rnacentral:misc_RNA from 1 species
AACAAGGCGUACCUGCGGACCUGCGGAGGGAUCAUUACUGAGUCACGUGCUCAAAUAACCCUUCUGUGGACUUGAAUUAAAACCGUUGCCUCGGCGGGCGGUCCCGCUACCAAACCUACCUACGUGGUGGGUUAGGGGACCAGACAGUUCGGCACGCUUAAGGCGUCCGGCGCCAGCCGCUGGCCCCAACCAAUUAAACUCUAGUAACCUUUACCUUCUGAGUUUUAAAAUUUAAAAAUA